UACGUAGGGAGCAAGCGUUGUCCGGAUUCAUUGGGCGUAAAGGGCGCGCAGGCGGCCCGGCAAGUCGGAUGUGAAAACUCGAGGCUCAACCUCGAGCGUGCACCCGAUACUGCCGGGCUUGAGGCAGGUAGGGGAGAUCGGAAUUCCUGGUGUAGCGGUGAAAUGCGCAGAUAUCAGGAGGAACACCGGUGGCGAAGGCGGAUCUCUGGGCCUGUCCUGACGCUGAGGCGCGAAAGCUAGGGGAGCGAACAGG
rnacentral:rRNA from 1 species